rnacentral:rRNA from 1 species
GACGUAGGAGGCGAGCGUUGUCCGGAUUCAUUGGGCGUAAAGCGCACGUAGGCGGCUUGGCAAGUCGGAUGUGAAAUCCCUCGGCUCAACCAAGGAAGUGCAUCCGAAACUGCUGAGCUUGAGUACGAAAGAGGAUCGCGGAAUUCCCGGUGUAGAGGUGAAAUUCGUAGAUAUCGGAAGGAACACCGGUGGCGAAAGCGGCGCGCUGGACCUCUACUGACGCUGAGGCGCGAAAGCCAGGGGAGCAAACGGG